AUCUGAUAAAUUACAUAUCUAAGGCAAAAUAUAGUCGCUUCUGUAAUUAAAUACUAAUAUAAUAUUUCUCUAGAAAACAUGAAUCACAGUUUCAAUCUUCCAAAGAUAUUUUCAAGAACAUCGGCGCAAACUAGAAAUUAUUCGUUCAAAGGACGAAACUAGUGGUUAGGAUCAUGACGUAAGAGCAAUUGUUCAAGCCUUCUUCCAAGCAGGUUCUCGAACCGAGCCUCGAGAAAAAAGACGAAGAAUGGGAACUCAUUGUCAGUCGUUUCCAUGGCAGACAACGUUAAUUAUUUCGUGUCUGUGCAGGUCCGCGAAAAUGCGACCACAGGAGCCACUAGGAAUUCCUCUUUUGUCGGUCAAUCAGCUGAUUCCUAGAACGGCUAGAACCGAGCGAGAGCGUCUAGUAAAGUUCCGAAGCGACUUGGCUCGUUGUACGGUCGCGGUCGCGUGGUUUCAAGGACAAGGCAAGGUUGACACGCGCCGCCACUCGCGAACAGCAAGUGGGGGGUCUGGCUUCGUUUCAUUCCCUCCACGUUUGCUUUUCUCUCCCGUUUCAGCAUCGCUCUAUGCCUCGGUGCCUUGCUCUCUAUCCCCCACACGCUUCCGCGCCGCGGUUGGUGACUGCCUUCGCUCGCAGACCUCGUCGUCAAUCUCUUACUGAUAAGUGCUAUCCGGUGACACGCUGCUGGAGCGAACGAUGAUUAUCUGUCCUCGUAGAAAAACGCUGCUGCGAAGGCUUCUGCCUCCUCUAUCUUUCUCGUUCUGGUUUCGUUUGCUGGAAUCUUGCUCAAGAUCAUGGCAGAUUCGCGUUGCAGCGCAUUAAACGGGAAUUUGUUGCAAUGGAUCGACAGAGAGAUUAAGUCGUAGUCUCUUGUACUAUUAAAUUAGGUUAAAAGUUCAUGCCCUUUUAUCUAUGGUUAGUCCCUCCCUUAAAUAGAGGGAGAAUGAUAUGUAUAUUUUGGAAUCUUGAAGUCGAUGAGGAAGAUGUUUUGGAGCACAUUCUUCGGAAUUUAGAUUGUGAUAGAAAAGUGAAUUUUAUUUUAAAAUCUUGACGCUGAAUAAAAUGCUUUGGGGUAAAUAUGUUCCCGGGGUACAAAUAUAAAAAGACAUAAAUAUAAAAUUGGAAACUAUGUUGAAAAAGUCUUUAAACAAUCAGAUAGUAUUCUUGAAACGUAUUAAUAUUCUUAAGACAUAUUGGUCUUCUUAGCACUUCUAUUAUCAGUAUUAGUUCUUUUUCAAGAGACUCUAGAGACAAACAAGAUUUCAUCAUGCCAAAGUAGCCUGUAUAAUCCAAGGGAAGCAAAAACUCGUCCCGCGUCAGUUAAACGCGACGCGUCGCCUGUCUAAUAGUCUGACCGGCGACGUCCUAUUCUACUUAGACCGCGAACGAGACACGCAUCGCUAUGAGCAGGAAUAAAUCAGAAUGAGUGUUCGAGCGCCAUAAGCACGAUGCCAGAAAGGGCCACGAACCUAUCGAAGGGACGAAGGUACACCGUCCAAGAUUAGCCGUUUGUCUCGCGUCUCACGUACAGGAUCGUCUUCCAAGUUUUUUCUAAGGCGCCGUUUAUCGUGCUGCCGUUCGCGAAACGCGGCCCUUUGCUCGCGAGGCAGAAGAAGCCGGGCAUUUUCGUGCGUUCCACGUGCCACAGAAAUGGUCGUUCGGGUUUCUUUUGCCCCUGGACUUUUGGCCAGCGCGCAUUUACCGAUGUUCACCAUGAAGAUCAACCGACUGGCGGUGAACACGACUGCCUUGUGCUCGAUGACUGUCAGAUGCGAGUUCAUUGGUAAGAAAUCGAUACUUCUGGACGUGUGUUUUCGUAGAACAGACAAGUUGAAGUAUGUUGUGAGUGUGUCAUCGAUUAAUCGGCCUUUGCUUUCAAUUUAGUUUUUGCCGACAGACCUGUUUUUGAGCUCGUGGAAUUUUUUGAACAUUCUUCUACUCUCCUACUUCUUGUAUUUUAGAGGAUUAGCAGAUUUUAAGGUUCACUAACCGAUUGUUAGAUAUAUCGCCAUAUACUUUCAGUAAUAAAUGGACUGUGAAUUUUGAUGCAUUUAUGGAAAAUUUACGGGCGCAACAAUUUACAAAAUGCAUGGAAUAUACAAAAGUAUAUAAGAUAUCUAAAGUAUAGUAUCUGUUGUAAUACUUGAAAAACCAGGAGAGAUGUUGAAACAAAAGUCAUUCGAAGAAGGAAAUAACCUCCUUAAAAACUCCAAGCUCAUGCUGACGCGACGAAACAAUUCAAGGACCGAACAAGCAACAAUAUCUCGACAAUUAAUGGAGCAAUUAAUCGAAAAAACCAUCGACACGACUUUCGACAAGGCGUUUCGAAAUGCAAGCAUCGACUCGAAUCACGGCACGCCGAUAUUCAAUGCAUGCGCAAUACACAACCGGGGCCGUAGUCUAUCGAUGUUUCCCUUCUCUGAAUGGUGGUUUUGUAUUUCGAGAAUGUUAAUAUGACGAAGCGUCUGCUAACGGCUGCCAGACGCUGAAUAAUCAAACGGAAUACCUAAGCGGCUCGAAUUUCUUCGCUCUUUGGAAGCGAACGAUGUUUAUUUCGAGGAACGAUGGUGCUGGCAAGUUUUCGAUAUGUGUCAGCAGUCUCAGCCUGCGAAUCGACGAAUCCGCACAUUUUCUACCGAUCUCGUGCAAAAUCAAUUUCCUCCUUUUUUAUCUAUUUCUGUUGAGACGUAAGAAUAAAAUCGGAAUUGUAAACUGAGAUUUCUAAGCAGUUGACCAACACCGAUGACGAUGGUUCUGAAAUUUCAGACGCACCCCCAAUAAAAUCGAGAACUGUUGCUCCGUCGCGAGAUCCCUUCGGAUUUUAUAGCCAAGAUCAAUCAUUUAGGUAGGUAAUCGUAGAUGCGGACUGGCAACACCAACGAAAACGCAAUUAUCGAAAAUUAUUUUGCACGCUUAUUGUUAGUACUCUAUGCAAAUCACCUGGAAGCCAGCCAUUCAUGAAACAAUGAGAACAAUUCGAGUCCGCUGUCUACAAAAUACACGCACAACGCACAAAGAGUACAGAACAUAUUUGUAAGAAUCAUUCUUGACACCACUCGCGGCUACAGUUUGCGAAAAUGACAUGUGGAAGCCGAAAGACAGACAUUAUGACCCAUAUUGUAGAACUCACUCAUGUGAAGAACACUGAACAAAACACACAACAAUACACUAAUUAACAAAAUAGCAAGAUACAAUCGUAACGAAUUCCUAUUCAAAAUCAGAAAGAACACCUAUCCCACAAUUUAUUACUCAGAAACCUAAUGCCACUUGAUUUAAUUCAGACGCGUACAGGUUUUUGGAAAUAUUUCCUGUCCACACACAUUGAAGCUCAAGAAGCCAAUCCUAAUUGUCAAUAAAUCUACACCUACACUUACAGGUUUUAAGCGCGUAAUAAGGCGAACUUUAACUGCCUAAGGCAUCGCAUCAAACAUACUCAGACGAAAGAAAAAGAAAGGAAAGACACUUAGUAUUCUCAACGCAAUUGUGUAACAUAAAACUCGACUCUUGACCAACUCGGCUAAACCUACUCGCUCGAAAUUGUAAUUUAUAAUAAUUCGAGUUGUGAGUGAAUACGUGAUAUCUUCUCAAUCGCGACGAAGAACGCGGUAUACAACGAUUUUCUUCAACAGAUCGAUCGAAAUUGUACCGCGUUUGUGUUCUUUGAUCUUAUUAUUUUAUAUUUUGAUCGAUACGUCCGGUCGACGAGAAGCGAGGAUGUUGAAAGGUUCGCAGAGGUUCGAUUGCGAAACGAACAAACCGAUUUCUUGGAUUCAACGUGGAACAUAUUGUCCCGCUAUUCUUAGAACGGAUCAAGCUUACUUACAGCGUUGUCCGUCUAGAUUUACAUAGGUUGGCCCGUGGCACACUAACACCAUGAGCAUACACGUCGAAUCGUAUCGAUCUACGCCAGUCACGAUCGACCAUUGUUCCUGUAAGCUCUUUCGCGGCUGACACUUCGUUCGGAAACCUUGCUCGCCGCGUGUAAUCCGGUAUUUACAUAUUCCCAAAUGCUUGCACGAGUUGCGGAUCACGGCUGAACUCUGCACACCGUCCUAGCGCCUCGCUCCUUUCUUUAAAAUUGGUUUAACUUGCGAGAGUAGCUUUGGAGAUGCAAAAUACCGCUUAUUGAUGGUACGAGCAUUUUCGCGAGUUAAGAACCAGAGAGUUCCAAUCUGCGCAUAAUAACAGAUCGAGAUGCACAUUCACUGCAAAAGAAAUAUAAAAAAUGAACAAUUAAAUAAAUUGAUUAGCCUUCUUCUUUCUUCUUUUCAACAAAAGUGAAAAAUUAUUUGGAAGCUUACAAAACAAUUAAUUACCAAACGUAAUUGUUACAAAAAAUAGACUCUAAGAAACAAUAGUAUAAUAUUAUUUUUGUAAUUUCCUAUUUUUUACACUUGAAAUCUUCUUUUCACGUUUUUAAUGAUUUUCUAAUACAAACCGAUUUAUUUUCCAUUGUGUCUUGAAAUACACCUGAGAAAUUUGAAAUAUGAAAUACGAAGUAUCGAACAAACGAAAUACACAGACCGAUCUAUCCUCCUCAAAUUCCUGUGAAAUCCAAUUCCACAUUCCUACCCCAUCAAAACGUGCAUCCAGAACGAGUCAGAACACGUGACCAGUUACAGCCCCGGGGCGAUAUAAUUCCCGUGUCGGCAUAGAAGUACGUAGCUCGCGUGGGAUUGGAUAAGGGCACGAAGCACGGCCAAUUUGGGUUAAUAACGCUCCUCGGUUAAAUCUACUACAAGAAAGACAGAACACCGUCGACACGUUUUCUCAGUCGCGUUCUUCAUCCUCGGGUUACGACUAUUACGGUGCGCAGUAUGGUGUGGAGUUUAUAUCAUGACUCUCCCUACGCUUUCGUAAAAUUUAGUAAUAUCUUUUUCUCUUUUGAAGUUUCUUACAAUCGAUUCUUUCGUCAAGAAGGCAACUUUAUUAAUUGCAUUGGGCUAUUAAUGUAUUUUAUAUAUGUAUACGAAACUUUUAUAUAUAAAACUGUUUGAGGCUAAUUAUUAGUUGUUAAAUAUGGUUAACAAUAAUUUAGUAAAAUAUUUAGUAAAAGUGUAAAUAAACAUUCGUUCACCGUCUAACGAUCGAACAUUUGCACUUGAAUGUUGCAUUUUAUUAUUGUAUUUAAAAGAAUACAAGAUGAUUACCAAACUGGAGAUCUCUCAGCCGAGAAACUUACAAUUAGCUAGUGUUUGGAUGAUAAAAGAAAAUUAAGUACGAAGUGAAAUUGUGUAUGGAAUGAUUCGCGAAACAACGAAUUGGAAGUUUCUCACUUCAAGUGAUCAUAACUUGCGAAAAGAAUGCAUGGAGUGCAAGAAAUUGAAUCCUAUUCUGUAAAGGAAAGUGGAUAUUUAUAUAGCAUGUAAAAGCAUAUUGGACAAAUUGUUAAUUAAUAACCAGACAAAAGAUGCGUAUGCAUUUUUGGCUUAAGGUUUCACAAAUCUACAAAAUGCAUAUAACAUGUAAGAAUAUACGAAACAUUCAAAGUAAAAAACUUGUUGUUGUGUCGUACCUACAUGUUUAUAAAGAUAUAAAAUUGCAUAAACAUUCGCAUAAAUUGUUAUCAAUUUCUAUUAACAAAAUGCGAUAAGUUAUUACAUUAUAACUUACUUCCAAAACAAAAUGGAAUAUAAUAAAUACGAAGAACCAUCGUUAUAUUUUAUUCUUUUUUUUCGGUCGAUACUUUCUCAAUCAAUCAUUGACGACAAAGUAUACGAUAUAUGAUAUUUUCUUACAAUUUUAGGCUCAAAACGGUACAGAUUUGGCACUUUUUAACCACGUCCUUUCCCUACAAAUCCAUAAACAUCCGCUACGUAAGGUACGUAAAGGUACUCGUUUACUCUAGAGUUAAACAAUCGUGAGUUGCUCUCGAGGGUGUUUCUCGCAAGUGGAUACCGCUUUGAGAGCGACUCUCAUUCUCUAUCCUAUCUGAUAGUGACUCGGAUAGUCGUGUUUCUCAACGUAGUGUUCACUUACGAGAAAUACUCUCGAGAGCACCUCGCGAUAGUUUUACUCUUGAGUGGACGCGUACUUCGACGAUUACCCUCUCGGUCCACCUUAGAUAGGAGAGAGGCGGAAAGCAAUGAGCGAGCGUGCGCUCGCGUGGCCGUGUGUGGGUCGAGAAACCGGAGUUAUUUAUGAAGUGUACCACGGGGAGAGGCACGACCGUGGGGCCGCCUAUCUGAUGCUCUUAUUUCGUUGUUUGCUCCCAAGCGCGUAAUACCGAGCUAGAAAAGCGCGACACGUGCGCUUGCUGCCCGUGCGUCGCGCGUCUUCCGCUCCGCCGUGUGCUCCGCCGAUACGCCACGUGGGUGAGCGUGUAGAAACCCGAUAGAGAGUUAGACUCUCCAGUUAGAUAUAGUCGUGUCGAGGGAAUCGUCGCGAACAAUGUGAGCCUGUUCCAGGUUCGGGUGUUCCUAAGCGACCCCGAGAUUCCGACGUGACACUGACCAGCUUCGUGAUGAAUUUCAACGCUGCCUUCGCUUCGGACCCUGUUUCUCGUGCCAUUAAUGAGCCAGUCAAUUCUUUGUAGGUGUGGUUCUAUCUGGGUUAGAGUUUGAGCACACAUUUCCAGUAAUUUGGCGGUGUUUGGAGUUGUGAGGAAUUUUGCAAGCUCCGAAAAAUUUUUCAGCUUCAUAUUAAACAUUUCCUCGAAACGUCAUAAAUUCUUUCUCUUUGUUAAAAUGAGAACGAGAUUGAAAUACAAAGAUUUGAGGAUCGUAGCAGGGUUAAAAUUCUUCUACCAAACAAGGAAAAAAAUUCACGACUAACUCGUCAUCGUGCCAUCAAACGUUAAUCCGUUCGCCAUAAUUACCAUCUAUCAGAACGUGACGUCUGCAUUAAGCCGAUGUCAAUGGCAAUUAAAAGUCUUUGGAAGCGAGGCUAUCAACGAGACGAUUAUUCAUCGACCUUCGAAAGCGGUUACUUAUCCGAAACAAUUCGAGUAUACUACACAGAAACAAGAAAUUCGAGCUCUGUUCGAUUCUGAAAUCGCGUGUAUCAUGCCACUAGUAAGAUACGCAGAGAUGAACACACGAAGCGAAACGUGGCGAAUACGAGAGCCAAAUAAGCCGAAAGCACGCCAUUAGCGUAUGUAAAUAUCUCGUUCGGACAGGAAUCAAUUACCUUGGUCGUCCUCCUGCGAUCCUUGCGCCGUUCCAUGCAUAGCAAUGAAGUCAGAAGAUGAGGAACCAACGGAAAGCACCGGUCAAACGAUGGACAGGAAAACCACUUAAAGCGUAAUUGCGCGUAAAACGUUCGAUAAUUCCGCGAACUAUAGCGGAGGUGUGAACGCGAGGAUUUUAAUUUACCAGCCUUUAAAUUUCACGUAAUCGUUGUUGACAGUUAAUUCGAUGGAAGUAUUGUGCCGAAUGCAUUUUGGUACAGACAACGAAUGAUGAGUAGGCUGUGAAUGAUUCUGGAUUUACAUAGGUUAGAUACUGUGACAAGUGUAGAUAAAUACGUGAGCAUGCGUUAUCCCAGGCCAUAAAUCUUAGGACAUGUACAAAUAAUUGGAUGUUCAAAUUAAACGUCCUCCAUUGUUUUUAUUUUCUAGUCAUUUUAUCGUAAAUGUGUAAUUUCAUUCGCAUCGCGUGUGCCUUAUAACGCAGAGUAUUAAAUAAUACAACAUUUGUUAAUGUUUUUCAUUGAA